AAAGUCUGAUGGAGCAACGCCGCGUGAGUGAUGAAGGUUUUCGGAUCGUAAAACUCUGUUGUAAGGGAAGAACCAGUACGUCAGGCAAUGGACGUACCUUGACGGUACCUUAUUAGAAAGCCACGGCUAACUACGUGCCAGCAGCCGCGGUAAUACGUAGGUGGCGAGCGUUGUCCGGAAUUACUGGGCGUAAAGGAUGCGUAGGUGGAUACUUAAGUGGGAUGUGAAAUCCCCGGGCUCAACCCGGGAACUGCAUUCCAAACUGGGUAUCUAGAGUGCAGGAGAGGAAAGCGGAAUUCCUAGUGUAGCGGUGAAAUGCGUAGAUAUUAGGAGGAACACCAGUGGCGAAGGCGGCUUUCUGGACUGUAACUGACACUGAGGCAUGAAAGCGUGGGUAGCAAACA
rnacentral:rRNA from 1 species